CCCCUCCACCCCGCGCGGGAGCGCCUCUGUGCCCGAGGAGAAGCAGCCAGACCCUUCUCCCGAUUCCUCCCGGGGAUUAACUCGCCUUGCAAUCACAGCGGGCGGAGGGAAGAGGAAAUCGCUUUCAUCAAAGAUACGUGACUAAGGCCCGCUAGCUUCUUUCGGCUGACUGGCAGCCCGCCCGAAGCAACAAUUUGAACGUAAGGAACGCAGCAGGAGCUUGAAGCGGAGAGCGCACCAACUUCGGACUAAUCUGUCCGAGUCUCCCUUUGCAAUCCUGCAUCUCCUUGUCCAGCCGCCUUCUGCAAAACCAUGGGCGACGACUACGAGUUCGACUACACUUUCCAAGAAAAUGAUACUUGUAAAAAUUCAAUUGAAGUGGAGGUUUUUCUACAUUUUUCGCUGAUUCCAUCAGUUGUCAUCAUUUUGAUCCUGACCUGUCUUGAAAAGAGAACAAAAAGAUUCUGGUUUGAUGACAGAUAUCCCAAAUGUCCAAGACGUUGUGGGUUACUGCUGUGAGUUGGACAAUACUUGCUGGCCAUUCCCGAGUAGCAGUCUGUGACAUACAUGUUUGGGGACUCGUAGCCUUUUGGGAGCAGAAACUGCAGUUGCCUAAGCUGUCCUUUAGGCCCUUGACAUAAAAAAUAAAAUGAUUCAGUCAAAUAUCUCCAAAGCAUAUUUAUAUUUUGUGAUGAAAAAUAGUUUUAAUCAUUCCAAAGCAGAUAAUUUAUUUAUUUAGCAGGUAAAGGAAAACACUCUCUAAGGCAAUUGUUGCCUCUAGUUUUGGUCUGACUCAUAUCAACCCUAGCCAGAUGGGAAACCAUCACUGGAACUAGCACAUCUGAAGGA